GACGAACGCUGGCGGCGUGCUUAACACAUGCAAGUCGAACGGUAAGGCCCUUCGGGGUACACGAGUGGCGAACGGGUGGAGUAACACGUGGGUGAUCUGCCCUGCACUUCGGGAUAAGCCUGGGAAACUGGGUCUAAUACCGGAUAGGACUCCUGGCUUCAUGGUUGGGGUGUAAAGCUUUUGCGGUGUGGGAUGGGGCCCGCGGCCUAUCAGCUUGUUGGUGGGGUAAUGGCCUACCAAGGCGACGACGGGUAGCCGGCCUGAGAGGGUGACCGGCCACACUGGGACUGAGAUACGGCCCAGACUCCUACGGGAGGCAGCAGUGGGGAAUAUUGCACAAAUGGGCGCAAGCCUGAUGCAGCGACGCCGCGUGAGGGAUGACGG
rnacentral:rRNA from 1 species